UCAGGGAAGAAAAAAAUGACGGUACCUGAGGAAUAAGCAUCGGCUAACUCCGUGCCAGCAGCCGCGGUAAUACGGAGGAUGCAAGCGUUAUCCGGAAUGAUUGGGCGUAAAGGGUCCGCAGGUGGUAGUGUAAGUCUGCUGUUAAAGAGUCACGCUCAACGUGAUCAAAGCAGUGGAAACUACACAACUAGAGUACGGUAGGGGCAGAAGGAAUUCCUGGUGUAGCGGUGAAAUGCGUAGAUAUCAG
rnacentral:rRNA from 1 species